UAGGGAAUCUUCGGCAAUGGACGAAAGUCUGACCGAGCAACGCCGCGUGAGUGAAGAAGGUUUUCGGAUCGUAAAACUCUGUUGUUAGAGAAGAACAAGGACGUUAGUAACUGAACGUCCCCUGACGGUAUCUAACCAGAAAGCCACGGCUAACUAUGUGCCAGCAGCCGCGGUAAUACGUAGGUGGCAAGCGUUGUCCGGAUUUAUUGGGCGUAAAGCGAGCGCAGGCGGUUUCUUAAGUCUGAUGUGAAAGCCCCCGGCUCAACCGGGGAGGGUCAUUGGAAACUGGGAGACUUGAGUGCAGAAGAGGAGAGUGGAAUUCAAUGUGUAGCGGUGAAAUGCGUAGAUAUAUGGAAGAACACCAGUGGCGAAGGCGGCUCUCUGGUCUGUAACUGACGCUGAGGCUCGAAAGCGUGGGGAGCAAACAGG
rnacentral:rRNA from 1 species